CUGGAUACAUUAGAACCACCGACAAAUUCAUCUUAAACUGCAACUCAUUAGAGGGCUUAUUUUGAUUUUUUGCUUAUUAGUGAAGUCAUUAAAGAAGAAAUCAUUUGUGAGAAGGAUUUUGUUGGUUUGGAAAUUGGUAAUUACGUGUAAAGGGCCUUAAAAUAGAGCCGCCGUCUUUUAUGACCAGCUGUGCUGCUACGAUGCAUUCAAGGACAUUUUUUACAUGUAGCAGUUUGUUUAUUAGACAAACUCUAAAGUGACCUAAGCAUUUUCUGCUAUCCAAUAUCUGCAAAAAACCUUUUCAAAAGAACCCAUAAUUACAUCAUGAUUAGGGAUUUUAGUGUUAUGAAGUAAUUUUAUUAACUGAUAAAAUAGCUGUGUUUGCCAUUACAAAUGUGCACAAAUUAUUUUGUCAAAAUUCAGCUAAUGUC